rnacentral:rRNA from 1 species
AGCGCGAGGUAGCAAUACUUGGCGGCGACCGGCAAACGGGUCGCGGUAACACGUACGCAACCUUCCUCAGAGCGGGAAUAGCCUCUCGAAAGAGAGAUUAAAUACCCACUAGUAUCUCGGAUUCACAUGGAUCUGAGAUUAAAGCUCCGGCACUUGAGAUGGGCGUGCGGCUGAUUAGGUAGUUGGUAGGGUAACGGCCUACCAAGCCAACGAUCAGUAGCUGAUGUGAGAGCAUGAUCAGCCACACGGGCACUGAGACACGGGCCCGACUCCUACGGGAGGCAGCAGUGAGGAAUAUUGGUCAAUGGAGGCAACUCUGAACCAGCCAUGCCGCGUGAAGGAUGAAGGUCCUCUGGAUUGUAAACUUCUUUUAUAGAAGAAGAAACCCCAUUUUUCUAAGUGGGUUGACGGUACUCUAUGAAUAAGCACCGGCUAACUCCGUG